AUUAAUUCGAUGACAACGCGAAAACCUUACUACCCUUGACAUGUCCAGACCUGCAGAGAGUGCGGGGUGCCGAAAGGGAAUUGGAACACAGAUGCUGCAUGGCUGUCGUCAGCUCGUGUCGUGAGAUGUUGGGUUAAGUCCCGCAACGAGCGCAACCCUUAUCCAUUAGUUGCUACGCAAGGGCACUCUAAUGAGACUGCCGGUGACAAACCGGAGGAAGGUGGGGAUGACGUCAAGUCCUCAUGGCCCUUAUGGGUAGGGCUUCACACGUCAUACAAUGGUCGGUACAGAGGGUUGCCAAGCCGCGAGGUGGAGCCAAUCCCAGAAAGCCGAUCGUAGUCCGGAUUGUUCUCUGCAACUCGAGAGCAUGAAGUCGGAAUCGCUAGUAAUCGCGGAUCAGCACGUCGCGGUGAAUACGUUCCCGGGUCUU
rnacentral:rRNA from 1 species